GACGAACGCUGGCGGCGUGCCUAAUACAUGCAAGUCGAACGCAGUGGGGACGGGUGAGUAACAUGUGGGUAACCUUCCAUCAGAGGGGAUAACACUUGGACACAGGUGCUAAACCGAUACUGAUGGAUGGACCUGCGGUUCAUUAGCUAGUUGGUGAGGUAACGGCUAACCAAGGCCACGAUGCAUAGCAGCCCUGAGGGGGUGGUCGGCAACAUGGGGACUGUGACAGGGCCAGACCUCCAAGGGGAGGAAGUGGUAGGGAAUGUUCGGAAAUGGACGAAAGUCUGACGGAGAAACGCCGCGUGAGUGAAGAAGGUUUUCGGUUCGUAAGACUCUGUUGUUAGGGAAGCGGUAUCUAACCAGAAAGCCACGGCUAACUACGUGCCAGCAGCCGCGGUAAUUC
rnacentral:rRNA from 1 species